GAUGAACGCUGGCGGCGUGCCUAACACAUGCAAGUCGAACGAAGCGCCUUACCGGAUUCUUCGGAUGACGGUCUGGUGUCUGAGUGGCGGACGGGUGCUUAACGCGUGGGUAACCUGCCCUGUACAGGGGGAUAACAGCUGGAAACGGCUGCUAAUACCGCAUAAGCGCACGAGGAGACAUCUCCUUGUGUGAAAAACUCCGGUGGUACAGGAUGGGCCCGCGUCUGAUUAGCUGGUUGGCAGGGUAACGGCCUACCAAGGCAACGAUCAGUAGCCGGUCUGAGAGGAUGAACGGCAACAGUGGAACAGAGACACGAUCCAAACUCCUACGAGAAGCAGCAGUGGGGAAUAUUGCAGAAUGGGGGAAACGCUGAUGCAGCAACGCCGCGUGAGUGAAGAAGUAGUUCGGUAUGUAAAGCUCUAUCAGCAGGGAAGAUAAUGACGGUACCUGACUAAGAAGCUCCGGCUAAAUACGUG
rnacentral:rRNA from 1 species